rnacentral:rRNA from 1 species
CCUACGGGAGGCAGCAGUAGGGAAUAUUGCUCAAUGGGGGAAACCCUGAAGCAGCAACGCCGCGUGGAGGAUGAAGGUUUUCGGAUUGUAAACUCCUUUUGUUAGAGAAGAUAAUGACGGUAUCUAACGAAUAAGCACCGGCUAACUCCGUGCCAGCAGCCGCGGUAAUACGGAGGGUGCAAGCGUUACUCGGAAUCACUGGGCGUAAAGAGCGCGUAGGCGGGAGAGCAAGUCCGAUGUGAAAUCCUAUGGCUUAACCAUAGAACUGCAUUUGAAACUGUUAUUCUAGAGUAUGGGAGAGGUAAGUGGAAUUCUUGGUGUAGGAGUAAAAUCCGUAGAGAUCGAGAGGAAUACUCGUGGCGAAGGCGACCUGCUGGAACAUAACUGACGCUGAUGCGCGAAAGCGUGGGGAGCAAACAGGAUUAGAUACCCGAGUAGUC